GAUGAACGCUGGCGGCGCGCCUAACACAUGCAAGUCGAACGAUUAAAGCACCUUCGGGUGUGUAUAAAGUGGCGAACGGCUGAGUAACACGUGGGCAACCUGCCCCUCUCAUUGGGAUAGCCACGGGAAACCGUGGAUAAUACCGAAUACUUCGGGACUUCCGCAUGGAAGACUCGAGAAAGCCCCGGCGGAGAGCGAUGGGCCCGCGGCCUGUUAUCUUGUUGGGGGGGUAAUGGCCUACCAAGGCAAUGAUGGGUAGCUGGGUUGAGAGGCCGACCAGCCAGAUUGGGACUGGGACACGGCCCAGACUCCUACGGGAGGCAGCAGUGGGGAUUCUUGCACAGUGGGCGACAGCCUGAUGCAGCGACCCCGCUUGCGGGAUGAAGGCCUUCGGGUUGUAAACCGCUUUCAGCAGGGACGAGGCGAAAGUGACGGUACCUGCAGAAGAAGCCCCGGCUAACUACGUG
rnacentral:rRNA from 1 species